UCACCCCUCAAGCCCCGUGCUUGGUGUUGGACGGCCGGUUGAGCGAUCGACCCCUCCUAAAGACAAUGACGGCGGCCUGUGGUUCCCCCGGUACACUGAGCUUUUCUGAGCACGUAUCGGACAAGGGCACCCGGGACCCGGUCCUCUCUCCGCACGGAGAAACUUUCAAU
rnacentral:misc_RNA from 1 species